GUUGGAGUUGUUGAGGAGGUAUAAACAACACUUUUAAAUUUAAUUUAAUUUUAUUUUAUUUUAUUAUUUUUUGAGACAGGGUCUUGCUCUGUCACCCAGGCUGGAGAGCAGGGUGUGAUCUCAGCUCACUACAGCCUUGACUUCCUGGGAUCAAGCCAUCCUUCCACCUCAGCCUCCCAAGCAGUCAAGACUACAGGCACACACCACCAUGCCCAGUUAAUUUUUUAAUUUUCUGUAGAGACCGGGGUUUUGCCAUGUUGCCCAGAUUGGUCUUGAACUCCUGGACUCAAGGGAUCUACUUGCCUCAGCCUCCCAAAGUGCUGGGAUCACAGGUGAGAGCCACCGCACCUGGCCUGCUUUUAUUUUUGAAUAGUAGACUUCUUUUCUCUCUUUGGCUACUUUAUCAAAACUUCAAAGGAGUUCCCACUUCUUUUGAUAGUCACAGCAACCUGAUUCAUGGAGAAAACAAAAAAGAUUAAGGGAGAUGAAGUGGUGGUUAUGGGAAGGGGCACAUGUGAAUAAACUUAUUGAGUAACCCCACUUCUUAGGACAAAAUCAUCCAAAACACAUAUUCUUUUCCUUAUGUACCAUUCUUUACUAUGCUAAUAAAUAC
rnacentral:lncRNA from 10 species